GGAGAGUUUGAUCCUGGCUCAGAUUGAACGCUGGCGGCAUGCCUUACACAUGCAAGUCGAACGGUAACGGGCCUUCGGGUGCCGACGAGUGGCGAACGGGUGAGUAAUGUAUCGGAACGUACCAUUCAGUGGGGGAUAGAGAAGCGAAAGUUACGCUAAUACCGCAUAUUCUGUGAGCAGGAAAGCAGGGGAUCGCAAGACCUUGCGCUGAUUGAGCGGCCGAUAUCGGAUUAGCUAGUUGGUGAGGUAAAGGCUCACCAAGGCGACGAUCUGUAGCGGGUCUGAGAGGAUGAUCCGCCACACUGGAACUGAGACACGGUCCAGACUCCUACGGGAGGCAGCAGUGGGGAAUUUUGGACAAUGGGGGCAACCCUGAUCCAGCCAUGCCGCGUGAGUGAAGAAGGCCUUCGGGUUGUAAAGCUCUUUCGGCCGGGAAAAAAUCGCAUGGGUUAAUACCCUGUGUGGAUGAUGGUACCGGAAUAAGAAGCACCGGCUAACUACGUGCCAGCAGCCGCGGUAA
rnacentral:rRNA from 1 species